GUGCCGUUAAACUGGUAGUCCACGUCGGUGUGGGAUUUGUUGAACAUAGCUCUGGAGGGCAGCCCCUGUUUCCUGCGUUCUCCAUCUGCCUCGACGGUAUAGCUGAUUGCUGCAGUGCAGAGAGAAACACAGGUACUUUCUAAACCUGUGCAAGGUGGACAUUAAAUGACGUCGGUGGAGUCUGUUCCUGAUUAUGGACACCUUGAAGGGCAUUAUACUUUAUGAAGGGCUUUAUUGAUCCUCCGAGAGAAAUCAGCUCCUGUCCACAGAAAGGUUUCCCAGAAAGCUCAAUCCUGCAAUAAUUCAACUGUUGGUCACUUGGUGGCAGCUGGAAUAAGAUGACAUAUGUCCAAACAUGGAGUCUUUGGUCCCGUUCAAACGCACAGGAGUGAUUCUGUCCCACCUUCCCGCCUGGUUGAUGUAGACGUAAACAGCUCCUCCAACGUCUCCAUCCUUCAUGUAGAACUGAGGAGCCCCAACAACUAUGUCUUGCCAUCUAGAAUAAAGAAGGAGGUCAACAACGGCUACGUCAUAUCCAAAGGAGGAAGCGAGUCCCGGCCCAUACAAGGUGUGCUCCACCAAUAGUCUGCUGGAGAUGUCGCUCUCUUUCCUCAACAGGACCACCGCUCCACUGUGAUUGGCUCUGGG